rnacentral:rRNA from 1 species
CCUACGGGUGGCAGCAGUGAGGAAUAUUGGUCAAUGGGCGCGAGCCUGAACCAGCCAAGUCGCGUGAAGGAUGACUGCUCUCCGGGCUGUAAACUUCUUUUAUAAAGGAAUAAAGUGAGGCACGUGUGCCUUUUUGUCUGUACUUUAUGAAUAAGGAUAGGCUAACUCCGUGCCAGCAGCCGCGGUAAUACGGAGGAUCCGAGCGUUAUCCGGAUUUAUUGGGUUUAAAGGGAGCGUAGAUGGGUUGUUAAGUCAGUUGUGAAAGUUUGCGGCUCAACCGUAAAAUUGCAAUGGUUACGGGCAGUCUUGAGGACAGGUGAGGUAGGCGGAAUUCGUUGUGUAGCGGUGAAAUGCUUAGAUAUCACGAAGAACUCCGAGUGCGAAGGCAGCUUACUAAACUGCCACUGACAUUGAUGCUCGAAAGUGUGGGUAGCAAACAGGAUUAGAUACCCUUGUAGUC